GGGUCAUUCCCCCGACUGAAAACAGUCUUUUAGUUACACUACUGAACUCUGUUUUCCGUAGCUUUGUGUGUAUUGGAGCCAUUACCUUCCAAACUGUUACUGUUUUGUGGGUUGUAAUCCCUUCACCUUCCGAAAAAGGUCCUGCUGCACAAGAUACAGAUUUCUCAUGUUGCCCAAAACCAGCUUGGACAGCUUGGUGUUAUCUUUUGUUUUAUGAGUUUGGAUUGACAAGUUAUUUGAAGGAUGACAGUGCUCAAGGUAAGGGAUAUAUCUUCAUGGUGUUUUGUGAUGCCAUUGUUAAAUACAAAGUACUGCAAACCUGAACUUCCCCUAAGUUACCUGUUUUUCAAAGACUGUAAUUUCCAAACAGCUGGAUUUCCUUCUAGAAGUUCAUUCUAUUAAAAUUUUACACAAGAUAUAAACCUCCAAAAGUCAUUAUUUUUUUCUCCCUUGCCUUUCAACAUACAGUGAACAAGAGGGUACCAUGCAUGAAAAAUACUGGGGUAAAGAAGUACAUGCUGAAAAUUUUGUAGAUAUUAAGCACUUACAUGCAUGGAUAGACAAUAUUCUUUCCUAGAAACAAGACCAUGGGCUUCCAUCAGCAUUCCUUUCUACUCUGUAGGUAUAGUCUCUUUCUGGCUUAUGAAGUUCUUGUUGGCUUAUCCUUUUUGGUUUGAGAGGCUGUAAAACUGUUGCUGUGAUGGUAGCAUGCUUCACACCUUUUGCAAAAGUAGAUAUAAGCCAGUUUCACUAAGUCAGGUCUGGAUGCUAAUGUUGCAAACAGAGCAGGCCCUGAGUCUGGCAAAGGUGGGGAAGUGAAAGGAGCCAUGUAUACCCACAUUAAUGCAGCAGAUAAGAGGUUCUGUUGGAAAGUGGCCUGUGUACUAGGGUUAUUUUAGGAGAGGAGAGGAGUUUUGUAACAUAUCCUGACUGUUAGAGGAGUUUGUCAUUGUUUGUUGCAAUUACAUUUUUAAAACAUUAUGGUCUUUCACUGCAUAUGGAAUUUUUAACAAUACGGGUUUUACAGGUAAAACCGUAUUAUCUCAAACAUCGAUUCAAAUGCAGUUUUUCUAC
ensembl:lncRNA